AAAACAUAAAAUAACUAACAAACGUGCCGAUGUGAGAAAAACUCAAAUAUGUAAGAAAUUGUUGUUGAUUUUGAAGAGAUAGAACAAGAAAGUGAUCAUUUCAAUAUCGAAACAAGAACAAAAUAUCUCAUUACGUGCCACGUAUUUCUUAACGAUCCCAACCGCCAAAAGAAGCAAAGGAAAGCCUUGUUUGUUGAUUUUGCCUCCCUUUCUCUGCUCUCUGUUCCGAAGUGUUUCCUUUGAGACCACACACGCACACAGGUGAAGAGAGUGUUGUUAGGAGUUCAAAACAAGAGCAAGUCAGCAAACCCAUCAAAGAUAACCAGAAAACAAUAUCUGGCUUUCAAGACUAACUGCUUUCUCCUUCCAGCCUUCCCAAAAAAAUCGUUGGCUUUGAGAAUUCCGAGUGGAUCAAGUAGAGAUGGAGAAGAGAGUGUAAUUAGGUGUUCAAAAGAAGAGCAAUCCCAUUAAGAAAAACAAGAAAUGGUUCCUCGAGAAAAUUGUGGACUGUAUGAAAUCUGAUUCUUACAUGUUUUCUCCUUUCAUCUCGACACCACAUAUUGCUUCAAAGACCAGCUCUUCUUCUACUACAGGACAGCUAGGUACGUUAAAAAAAAUUACUAUGGAAGUUCCAACCAGGAAAUUAACCACGAAGGAUAAUCAAUCAACUGUCGAGACAUCAAAUGUAACAGUAGAAGACCAAUUCUCUGAGCUUCCUGAGAAAUGCAUUUCUGGCCAGCAGACGUUCGUGCACAAGGAAACAGUGAAGCACAUGGUCUACCAAAGUUGCCGCUCUUCGCUGUCGGUUACUUUCUUAUGCCACGUGCAUUUUUCUUGUUAUUUAUCUGGGUUUCAGCCUCUGCUCCCUCUGAUUUAGAAAAAAUGAAGAUAAUUGGAUCUUAAAGAACUGGUUUUCAACACUAUCCAAUUAUAUAGGGCUCAUAUGCUGUUUCUUGUGUGAUUUUUUUAGAAUAACGUGGGCGGGACUGAAAUUCAAUUGUAAGAGGUUAUGCACAUGAAACUAUCUGGUGGGAUGCAAGCAUAUAUACAUUGUUUCUCAAAGUUAUUGGCAAAAGAAUACAGCACAUUUAACAUCAUAAUAUAUGGCCAAGGCUAGUCGACAUAUUGUUUCUUGCAUUUAA